rnacentral:rRNA from 1 species
AACGAACGCUGGCGGCAGGCUUAACACAUGCAAGUCGAACGGGCGUAGCAAUACGUCAGUGGCAGACGGGUGAGUAACACGUGGGAACCUUCCUAGGGGUACGGAACAACUCAGGGAAACUUGAGCUAAUACCGUAUACGUCCGUGAGGAGAAAGAUUUAUCGCCCUUAGACGGGCCCGCGUCGGAUUAGCUAGUUGGUGGGUAACGGCCUACCAAAGGCGACGAUCCGUAGCUGAUCUGAGAGGAUGAUCAGCCACACUGGGACUGAGACACGGCCCAGACUCCUACGGGAGGCAGCAGUGGGGAAUCUUGGACAAUGGGCGCAAGCCUGAUCCAGCCAUGCCGCGUGAGUGAAGAAGG